AUCGCUUCGGCCUUUUGGCUAAGAUCAAGUGUAGUAUCUGUUCUUAUCAGUUUAAUAUUCGAUACGUCCUCUAUCCGAGGACAAUAUAUUAAAUGUAUUUUUGGAGCAGGGAGAUGGAAUAGGAGCUUGCUCCGUCCACUCCACGCAUCGACCUGGUAUUGCAGUACCUCCAGGAACGGUGCACUCUCC
rnacentral:snRNA from 1 species